CAUGGGGUGGGGGGGUGCAUCCCUCAGCCCAGAUUGCAAGAGGGUGCAGGCCAGGCCAAGGGACAUCAUCAGUGCAUG
rnacentral:pre_miRNA from 1 species